rnacentral:misc_RNA from 1 species
CACCAACACGCGCGGGCACAUAACCGCGUUCUUUCUCGCUCGCAUAUUCUGAAUCUUGUCAGCUGCGAGGAAACAACAACUGCACCAUACUGGCUAGCGACAAACACCCACACACACACACACACACAUACAAGCAGAGGUGUAGGCCUGCAUCAAAGGAAGCACGAAGCCAGCUAUGCACCGUACACCGCGGCGGACGCCGCUGUUGGUACUUGUUGUCUUCGUUGCAACUCUGUGCCUCUCGCACGCGUUGGCGGUAGAGGAUGUAGGCGAGGAUGCCUCGGCGGUGCUGGAGCUCAUCUCUGAGGGCUCCACAACCACCUACAAGAUACCUGACUCCAUGGUAGUGCUGAACAACGCAAACUUCGAGUCUUACCUCUUUCCCAGCAAGCGCGCAACCCCGCGUGCGUUCCUUGUUCUCUGUUACUCGCCGUGGUGUCCUCACUGCAAAUCUCUCUUGCCACAGUUUCUGAAUGCCAGCAUGCAGUUGGAUCUAAUGAAGGUGCCGCACAGCAACUUCGCGGUGGUCGACGUACAGAAGAACACGGCGGUCUCGGAGUACUUCGACGUGGAGCGCUUCCCCACCCUUUUGUACACCACCGGCAAGGGCAGGCAGUGGCACCUGUACGAAGGCGGCAACACCCAGCAGGGUUUCAUGCAGUUCUCGACGUACCUCCAGAACGCCAUGGACACCGGGAGCUUUUCGGAGGAUGUCACGGAUGUGUCACACUUCAAUGAGGUCGAGGAGAAGAGCGGCACAACGCGUGUGCCCUGCUACGUCUACGUGCCAGCCACAUCCUCCAGUGCGCCUGAAAGCCAGCGCACAGCCCACUGGAGCCACGCCAUCGAUGGCGCCGCGUCCGUUAGUAACAUCCGCUUUGCCGUCAUCUACGAGAAGUCGCAGGCGGAGGGCUGGGCGGAGCACGCCAGUGACAAGUAUAAAAAAGUGGUGGAGAAGGCGAAGGCGUGCGUGGCGGCGGGGAAGGCCAGCGGCCCAGGCGGUGAGGCUCUGGUUGUCUUCUCCGAUCGCUACCGCGAGCCUCACUGCUACUCGGGACCGUGGGUGGAGGAGCGCAGUGUCGCGAGGUCGUCCAAGCACAGGACCCGCCAGGUCGACGCCGAUACGCUGACAAUGAGCACGUCACUCGAGAACUUUCUGGCCCUGCACGGCUUCCACGCCGUCGAGGACGCGUCGUCGGCCAUGUUCGCCACCCUCGCGUACUAUCCCAAGAACUACUUGGGUGUAGUUAUGACGAAUCGCCCAAUCGACGACAAGGACAUGGACUUUGUGCCAGUGCUGCGCGAGAUCACACAGGCCGAAAACGCCGCUCUGGAGAAAAAGCACGGAAGCGACUUGCCAAUCGAGGAGGAGAUGCGCACCCCUCGCGUUUCAUGGUCGUAUAUCGACGUGGUGGAGUAUGAGGUGUGGCGCUCGCGCUACGACAUCGAGCUGGAUCAGCUGCCGGCUGUCAUGAUCAUCGACACAAAGCGCGACCGCUUCUUCAAGAUGCGCACUCAUGUGCCGCGCUUUGAGGCAAUCAAGAUGGACACGCCGUGGAAGGUGGGCGGAGAGCAGCAGCAGCUCAUCGCGCAAUUCGCUCAGGAUGUACUGGCGGAUGCGUACAAGGCGCAGAAGCUGUCUGUCGCUGGCGCCGUCGCCGAGUACCUCUCGCACUACCCUGGCUUUGCUUUGAUGUACGAAGCGCUCAACUACGAGGACUUCGUGUUCGACAUCGUGGUAAUGGCGCUUGGUUUCUUUACUUUCUUGUUCUUCCUGGCGAUCGUGAUGGAGCCGCUCAUGGACUGGUACGACGCACGCUCGAAAAAGAAGGCAGAUAAGGUCAAGAGGGACUAGGGCUGUCUUGAAGGCACCAGAGUCAGCGAGUCUGCGAGAUGGCUUUGACGUCCAAGUAGAGGCGCUCCCUGUACCUUUGUUUUCGCUCGCGGAUGCCGAGCGCCGCUGAUGUCCUGCGUGCCCGUGCCGUCCACAACCGUAUGCUCUUUUCUUGUGUUGUUCAAGUGUAUUUCUUCUCGUUAUAUAUUGCCGAUUAUGCGGUUGUGUUGCACAGCACAUUCCCAGCGGACUCACCAUCUCACGACUCUCCAGGUCACCUUUUGCUCUCCCUGUCCUUCAAUUAGCGAUGGUGGUAGCGGCGUCUCCUUUUCCGUCUGCGCGAAACCCUCAGCGACGCAACAGGAGCGCCGGGAGGCGAAAGGGGCAGCCGUGGGAUUUAGUGGCCCAGCGGCGUACGGCCAGCUGCUUAUGAGCAGCAGGCGUGAUGGGGCGGCGAUAAUGUAGGGUGGCGGGGGAGUAGAGGGGAGGGAGGGGCGGGGGACGGACCUCCGCCUGCGACUCAUGCAAUGCGUUUGCACGCUUGUAACCCUCCCUCUUUUCCGUUUUUUUUUUCGCCUUACUCGUUUGCCUUACUCAAUUCCGGUGAGGUCAUUAACGUCACCGGGGAGGAGCUUCGCAUUGCUGUUCCCGUUUUCU